rnacentral:lncRNA from 1 species
AUGUUGCUGUUGUUUUUAUAUGCAGCCUCUAUUUCCUUCCUUAAUCUACAGGUUUUGUGUCAUACCUUCAUUCCUGCCUUCCAGGAUCUCAUUUCGUUACCCAGGCUGGAGUGCAGUGGUGCAAUAAUAGCUCACUGCAGCCUUGAACUCCUGGGCACAAGUGAUCCUCCUACCUCAGCCAUGCAAGAUGGAAUAGGAACUGGCCAUGAGUUAGUCUCUGAAUCAUCAGGUUUUUCUGGUUAA